GGAGAGGACCAUAGCUCUGUGUGAGAGCAUCUGCUUUGCAUGCAGAAGGUCUCAGGUUCAAUCCCUGGCUUCUCCU